AACGAACGCUGGCGGCAGGCUUAACACAUGCAAGUCGAACGGGUGUAGCAAUACAUCAGUGGCAGACGGGUGAGUAACACGUGGGAACCUUCCUAGGGGUACGGAACAACUCAGGGAAACUUGAGCUAAUACCGUAUACGUCCGUGAGGAGAAAGAUUUAUCGCCCUUAGACGGGCCCGCGUCGGAUUAGCUAGUUGGUGGGGUAACGGCCUACCAAGGCGACGAUCCGUAGCUGAUCUUAGAGGAUGAUCAGCCACACUGGGGCUGAGACACGGCCCAGAGUGCUACGGGGGGCAGCAGUGGGGAAUCUUGGACAAUGGGCGCAGGCCGGAUCCAGCCAUGACGCGUGAGUGAAGAAGGUCUUCGGAUUGUGAAGCUCUUUUGCCAGGGACGAUAAUGACGGUACCUGGAGAAUAAGCCCCGGCAAACUUCGUGCCAGCCGCCGCAGUAA
rnacentral:rRNA from 1 species